rnacentral:rRNA from 1 species
GCGGCGUGCUUAACACAUGCAAGUCGAACGGAAAGGCCCUGCUUUUGUGGGGUGCUCGAGUGGCGAACGGGUGAGUAACACGUGAGUAACCUGCCCUUGACUUUGGGAUAACUUCAGGAAACUGGGGCUAAUACCGGAUAGGAGCUCCUGCUGCAUGGUGGGGGUUGGAAAGUUUCGGCGGUUGGGGAUGGACUCGCGGCUUAUCAGCUUGUUGGUGGGGUAGUGGCUUACCAAGGCUUUGACGGGUAGCCGGCCUGAGAGGGUGACCGGCCACAUUGGGACUGAGAUACGGCCCAGACUCCUACGGGAGGCAGCAGUGGGGAAUAUUGCACAAUGGGCGGAAGCCUGAUGCAGCAACGCCGCGUGCGGGAUGACGGCCUUCGGGUUGUAAACCGCUUUCGCCUGUGACGAAGCGUGAGUGACGGUAAUGGGUAAAGAAGCACCGGCUAACUACGUGCCAGCAGCCGCGGUGAUACGUAGGGUGCGAGCGUUGUCCGGAUUUAUUGGGCGUAAAGGGCUCGUAGGUGGUUGAUCGCGUCGGAAGUGUAAUCUUGGGGCUUAACCCUGAGCGUGCUUUCGAUACGGGUUGACUUGAGGAAGGUAGGGGAGAAUGGAAUUCCUGGUGGAGCGGUGGAAUGCGCAGAUAUCAGGAGGAACACCAGUGGCGAAGGCGGUUCUCUGGGCCUUUCCUGACGCUGAGGAGCGAAAGCGUGGGGAGCGAACAGGCUUAGAUACCCCUGGUAGUCCACGCUGUAAACGGUGGGUACUAGGUGUGGGGUCCAUUCCACGGGUUCCGUGCCGUAGCUAACGCUUUAAGUACCCCGCCUGGGGAGUACGGCCGCAAGGCUAAAACUCAAAGGAAUUGACGGGGCCCCGCACAAGCGGCGGAGCAUGCGGAUUAAUUCGAUGCAACGCGUAGAACCUUACCUGGGUUUGACAUGGAUCGGGAGUGCUCAGAGAUGGGUGUGCCUCUUUUGGGGUCGGUUCACAGGUGGUGCAUGGCUGUCGUCAGCUCGUGUCGUGAGAUGUUGGGUUAAGUCCCGCAACGAGCGCAACCCUUGUUCACUGUUGCCAGCACGUUAUGGUGGGGACUCAGUGGAGACCGCCGGGGUCAACUCGGAGGAAGGUGGGGAUGACGUCAAGUCAUCAUGCCCCUUAUGUCCAGGGCUUCACGCAUGCUACAAUGGCUGGUACAGAGAGUGGCGAGCCUGUGAGGGUGAGCGAAUCUCGGAAAGCCGGUCUCAGUUCGGAUUGGGGUCUGCAACUCGACCUCAUGAAGUCGGAGUCGCUAGUAAUCGCAGAUCAGCAACGCUGCGGUGAAUACGUUCCCGGGGCUUGUACACACCGCCCGUCAAGUCAUGAAAGUUGGUAACACCCGAAGCCGGUGGCCUAACCGUUGUGGGGGAGCCGUCGAAGGUGGGACUGGUGAUUAGGAC